rnacentral:rRNA from 1 species
GAUGAACGCUGGCGGCGUGCCUAAUACAUGCAAGUCGAGCGAACGGACGAGAAGCCUGCUUUUCUGAUGUUAGCGGCGGACGGGUGAGUAACACGUGGAUAACCUACCUAUAAGACUGGGAUAACUUCGGGAAACCGGAGCUAAUACCGGAUAAUAUUUUGAACCGCAUGGUUCAAAAGUGAAAGACGGUCUUGCUGUCACUUAUAGAUGGAUCCGCGCUGCAUUAGCUAGUUGGUAAGGUAACGGCUUACCAAGGCAACGAUGCAUAGCCGACCUGAGAGAGUGAUCGGCCACCCUGGAACUGAGACACGGUCCAUACUCCUACGGGAGGCAGCAGUAGGGAAUCUUCCGCAAUGGGCGAAAGCCUGACGGAGCAACGCCGCGUGAGUGAUGAAGGUCUUCGGAUCGUAAAACUCUGUUAUUAGGGAAGAACAUAUGUGUAAGUAACUGUGCACAUCUUGACGGUACCUAAUCAGAAAGCCACGGCUAACUACGUG